rnacentral:rRNA from 1 species
AUUGAACGCUGGCGGCAGGCCUAACACAUGCAAGUCGAGCGGUAACAUUUCUAGCUUGCUAGAAGAUGACGAGCGGCGGACGGGUGAGUAAUGCUUGGGAACAUGCCUUGAGGUGGGGGACAACCGUUGGAAACGACGGCUAAUACCGCAUAAUCUCUACGGAGCAAAGGGGGCUUUUAGCUCUCGCCUUUAGAUUGGCCCAAGUGGGAUUAGCUAGUUGGUGAGGUAAUGGCUCACCAAGGCGACGAUCCCUAGCUGGUUUGAGAGGAUGAUCAGCCACACUGGAGCUGAGACACGGUCCAGACUCCUACGGGAGGCAGCAGUGGGGAAUAUUGCACAAUGGGCGCAAGCCUGAUGCAGCCAUGCCGCGUGUGUGAAGAAGGCCUUCGGGUUGUAAAGCACUUUCAGUCAGGAGGAAAGGUUAGUAGUUAAUACCUGCUAGCUGUGACGUUACUGACAGAAGAAGCACCGGCUAACUCCGUGCCAGCAGCCGCGGUAAUACGGAGGGUGCGAGCGUUAAUCGGAAUUACUGGGCGUAAAGCGUACGCAGGCGGUUUGUUAAGCGAGAUGUGAAAGCCCCGGGCUCAACCUGGGAACAGCAUUUCGAACUGGCAAGCUAGAGUGUGAUAGAGGGUGGUAGAAUUUCAGGUGUAGCGGUGAAAUGCGUAGAGAUCUGAAGGAAUACCGAUGGCGAAGGCAGCCACCUGGGUCAACACUGACGCUCAUGUACGAAAGCGUGGGGAGCAAACAGG